CUGUUACUACAUCUAACUCUCUAAUAAUUCUGAUAACAUGGGUGCCAAAGUUAAAAAAGUAGACUGUGCCUGCCAUCUACUGGCUGUUUUUCAUAAUUAGUCGCUAUAAUUAUGUAAUGAGUGAAGCCUGCUUUCCAGCAGAUCACACCAUAAGUGCUGGGCAGCUGGCAAAGCACAAUAACGGUCACAAUCUGCUGAAGGCAGAGGUAUACACAG